UCAGGCCUAACACAUGCAAGUCGAACGGCAGCACGGACUUCGGUCUGGUGGCGAGUGGCGAACGGGUGAGUAAUAUAUCGGAACGUGCCCAGUCGUGGGGGAUAACGUAGCGAAAGCUACGCUAAUACCGCAUACGAUCUACGGAUGAAAGCGGGGGAUCGCAAGACCUCGCGCGAUUGGAGCGGCCGAUAUCAGAUUAGGUAGUUGGUGAGGUAAAGGCUCACCAAGCCGACGAUCUGUAGCUGGUCUGAGAGGACGACCAGCCACACUGGGACUGAGACACGGCCCAGACUCCUACGGGAGGCAGCAGUGGGGAAUUUUGGACAAUGGACGCAAGUCUGAUCCAGACAGUCCGCGUGCAGGACGAAGGCCUUCGGGUGUAAUUUACGAUGUACAGAACGAAAAGGUCUCUA
rnacentral:rRNA from 1 species